AACGAACGCUGGCGGCAGGCCUAACACAUGCAAGUCGAGCGAGCGGCGGACGGGUGAGUAAUGUAUGGGGACCGCCCGAUAGAGGGGGAUAACUACUGGAAAAGGUAGCUAAUAACGCAUACUAUCGGAUAACCGAUAUGGGAUUAGCUAGUAGGUGAGGUAAUGGCUCACCUAGGCAACGAUCCCUCGCUGGUCUGAGAGGAUGAUCAGCCACACUGGGACUGUGACACGGCCCAUACUCCUAGGGAGGCAGCAUUGGGGAAUAUUGCACAAUGGGCGCAAGCCUGAUGCAGCCAGGCCGGGUGGAGGAAGAGGGCCCUAGGGUUGUAAAGUACUUUCAUUCGGGAGGCGUUACCGACCGAGGAAGCACCGGCUAACUCCGUGCCAGCCGCCGCGGUAAUAC
rnacentral:rRNA from 1 species